UACGGAGGGUGCAAGCGUUAAUCGGAAUUACUGGGCGUAAAGCGUGCGCAGGCGGUUUGUUAAGUCCGCUGUGAAAUCCCCGAGCUCAACUUGGGAAUUGCAGUGGAUACUGGCAAGCUGGAGUAUGGUAGAGGAUGGUGGAAUUCCUAGUGUAGAGGUGAAAUUCUUAGAUAUUAGGAGGAACAUCGGAGGCGAAAGCGGCCAUCUGGACCAUUUCUGACGCUGAGGUGCGAAAGCGUGGGGAGCAAACAGG
rnacentral:rRNA from 1 species